rnacentral:rRNA from 1 species
UAACUGAAGAGUUUGAUCAUGGCUCAGAUUGAACGCUGGCGGCAGGCUUAACACAUGCAAGUCGAGCGGGGGAAGGUAGCUUGCUACUGGACCUAGCGGCGGACGGGUGAGUAAUGCUUAGGAAUCUGCCUAUUAGUGGGGGACAACAUCUCGAAAGGGAUGCUAAUACCGCAUACGUCCUACGGGAGAAAGCAGGGGAUCUUCGGACCUUGCGCUAAUAGAUGAGCCUAAGUCGGAUUAGCUAGUUGGUGGGGUAAAGGCCUACCAAGGCGACGAUCUGUAGCGGGUCUGAGAGGAUGAUCCGCCACACUGGGACUGAGACACGGCCCAGACUCCUACGGGAGGCAGCAGUGGGGAAUAUUGGACAAUGGGGGAACCCUGAUCCAGCCAUGCCGCGUGUGUGAAGAAGGCCUUAUGGUUGUAAAGCACUUUAAGCGAGGAGGAGGCUACUUUAGUUAAUACCUAGAGAUAGUGGACGUUACUCGCAGAAUAAGCACCGGCUAACUCUGUGCCAGCAGCCGCGGUAAUACAGAGGGUGCGAGCGUUAAUCGGAUUUACUGGGCGUAAAGCGUGCGUAGGCGGCUUAUUAAGUCGGAUGUGAAAUCCCCGAGCUUAACUUGGGAAUUGCAUUCGAUACUGGUGAGCUAGAGUAUGGGAGAGGAUGGUAGAAUUCCAGGUGUAGCGGUGAAAUGCGUAGAGAUCUGGAGGAAUACGAUGGCGAAGGCAGCCAUCUGGCCUAAUACUGACGCUGAGGUACGAAAGCAUGGGGAGCAAACAGGAUUAGAUACCCUGGUAGUCCAUGCCGUAAACGAUGUCUACUAGCCGUUGGGGCCUUUGAGGCUUUAGUGGCGCAGCUAACGCGAUAAGUAGACCGCCUGGGGAGUACGGUCGCAAGACUAAAACUCAAAUGAAUUGACGGGGGCCCGCACAAGCGGUGGAGCAUGUGGUUUAAUUCGAUGCAACGCGAAGAACCUUACCUGGCCUUGACAUACUAGAAACUUUCCAGAGAUGGAUUGGUGCCUUCGGGAAUCUAGAUACAGGUGCUGCAUGGCUGUCGUCAGCUCGUGUCGUGAGAUGUUGGGUUAAGUCCCGCAACGAGCGCAACCCUUUUCCUUACUUGCCAGCAUUUCGGAUGGGAACUUUAAGGAUACUGCCAGUGACAAACUGGAGGAAGGCGGGGACGACGUCAAGUCAUCAUGGCCCUUACGGCCAGGGCUACACACGUGCUACAAUGGUCGGUACAAAGGGUUGCUACACAGCGAUGUGAUGCUAAUCUCAAAAAGCCGAUCGUAGUCCGGAUUGGAGUCUGCAACUCGACUCCAUGAAGUCGGAAUCGCUAGUAAUCGCGGAUCAGAAUGCCGCGGUGAAUACGUUCCCGGGCCUUGUACACACCGCCCGUCACACCAUGGGAGUUUGUUGCACCAGAAGUAGCUAGCCUAACUGCAAAGAGGGCGGUUACCACGGUGUGGCCGAUGACUGGGGUGAAGUCGUAACAAGGUAGCCGUAGGGGAACCUGCGGCUGGAUCACCUCCUUA